ensembl:lncRNA
CACUUUCCACUACCAGAGCCCAAAUUUGCUGGGAUAUUUUACAAAUAUUUAUUUUUUUUCCAUGCUUUAUAUGCUCUUUUUGGUGUCAGAAGUACCUGGGCCAAGCAGAGAAUUUCUUGACAAAAGAGUUUUGUUGUUUUUUUUUUUUUUUUUUUUUUCUUUUUCUUUCCUUUCCUUUUCUCUCUUUCCCUCCCUUUCCUUCCUCGCAGCCGGGACUGGAGUCUCCUCAGCGAAACUCCUGUGCUUUCGCGGCCGCAGCAGCACGUCUUACUGGCUAAUGAAAGCCAAAACCUGACUGUACUGCAGGAAGAUUCAUACACACUGCAGCCAUAUGGCAAUGCAUUGUCUCCUUCCUGAUCUUGGAUUACAGUCCAUACUGAAAAAAAAAUAAAGUGAUUAAGAGCAAAAGUUCAAGUGGGUUUAUUUGUAGAAGCUGGUUGUGGCCUUCCCACAAUGAAGCAGCUUUUACCCUAAAAGUCACGCUAAGUACUAGUUAGUAAAUUAUCAAUUUUCCCUUGCAAACGCUGUAUUAUGUACGAGAAUAAAAUAUUGCCUUUCAAACCGUAGUGGAUGUUAUCACUUCAAAUGUGCUUAUAUGCAUUUCCUGUGCUUAGAUCCAGCCCAGCAAUAACAAUACCACAAUUACCAGAAUGUAUAAUCCAUAGUGUGGCCCUGUGUAAAUCAAGCCCCCGCUGAGCAUGUCGCACACAUCCUGCAGGAUACCACUGCCAUCCUCGAUUGCUUCCGGUGAGCGCCCUGCGUCUGCAGGAGGAUUGCAGAGCCCUGCUCACCCUGACUCCUAACUCACAACUCAGAGCUACCUCCUCCCAGCAAGAUUUAGGCACACAGCUGAAGCAGGUUUUGUUCGUGAUAGCCUAAAUGGGAAACUAGAAAACCAGGCUUAAGGAAAAAACAGUUUUGAUCUUUUAAAAAUACUUAAGGACAAAAUUGUUGCAAAUACUGCAAGGGAGAGUGUUCAGCAUUUCAAUUCAAUUGUUAAAUUACUAAAAUAAUGCGUACCUGGGGUUUUCACACCGUGGAGACUUAGAUGUAUGAUCUGAUACUCUGUCAUUCAUUCCCUUCAGAACACAGCAUCAUUUUUUCUCUGUGCAAAAUAUCUGAGAAGUAAACAUUUUUGAAAGAAUUUUGCAAAGUCAAAGAACAAGCAAAAUCUGAACUAAACCAGAAAUAUAUUAUUUUAAUUGCAAGACACAUUGCAGCCAUACACUCAGAACAAUCUUACAGGAAUAUUCUGACAAUGUCAGUGUCAUGAUUCAGUUAGUUCAAGCCAACUCAACAGACUGACUCAGAAAUUAAAUCUACUUGACCUGUUCAUGACUUCAUAUUUUUAGUCAGUUCUCAGAUUAGACACUGACUUUUUCAAACAGAUGUUGAAAUGAGUACAAAGUUUUGAAAAACUGUAAACCACUUUAAACUAUAAUUUAUACAUAUGAUCCUUAAAAAAAAAAAAACCCCCCCCCCCCCCCCCCCCCCCCCCCCCCCCCCCCCCCCCCCCCCCCCCCCCCCCCCCCCCCCCCCCCCCCCCCCCCCCCC